rnacentral:rRNA from 1 species
UGGGGGAUAUUGCACAAUGGGGGAAACCCUGAUGCAGCAACGCCGCGUGAAGGAAGAAGGUCUUCGGAUUGUAAACUUUUGUCUUGCGGGACGAAUAAUGACGGUACCGCAGGAGGAAGCCACGGCUAACUACGUGCCAGCAGCCGCGGUAAUACGUAGGUGGCGAGCGUUGUCCGGAAUUACUGGGUGUAAAGGGUGCGUAGGCGGAUUUGCAAGUCAUGUGUGAAAACUAUCGGCUUAACCGGUAGCCUGCACUUGAAACUGUGAGUCUUGAGUGGUUAAGAUGUAAGCGGAAUUCCUAGUGUAGCGGUGAAAAGCGUAGAUAUUAGGAGGAACACCAGUGGCGAAGGCGGCUUACUGGGCACUAACUGACGCUGAGGCACGAAAGCAUGGGGAGCAAACA